AACGAACGCUGGCGGCAUGCCUAACACAUGCAAGUCGAACGAGACCUUCGGGUCUAGUGGCGCACGGGUGCGUAACGCGUGGGAAUCUGCCCUCUGGUACGGAAUAACUCAGGGAAACUUGAGCUAAUACCGUAUAAUGACUUCGGUCCAAAGAUUUAUCGCCUGAGGAUGAGCCCGCGUCGGAUUAGCUAGUUGGUAGGGUAAAGGCCUACCAAGGCGACGAUCCGUAGCUGGUCUGAGAGGAUGAUCAGCCACACUGGGACUGAGACACGGCCCAGACUCCUACGGGAGGCAGCAGUGGGGAAUAUUGGACAAUGGGGGAAACCCUGAUCCAGCAAUGCCGCGUGAGUGAUGAAGGCCUUAGGGUUGUAAAGCUCUUUUACCCGGGAUGAUAAUGACAGUACCGGGAGAAUAAGCCCCGGCUAACUCCGUGCCAGCAGCCGCGGUAAUACGGAGGGGGCUAGCGUUGUUCGGAAUUACUGGGCGUAAAGCGCACGUAGGCGGCUUUGGU
rnacentral:rRNA from 1 species